rnacentral:lncRNA from 1 species
GCGGGUUUAUUUUUGUUUUUUUUUGUUUUUUUUUUAAUUGACAAAUAUUUAGUAAAUGUCACAUUUUCAUAUAUUUUUGUUUUAUUUUAUAAAAGACUUAAAAUUUUUAUCUUUAUUUAUCGUAUUUCAUUUUAAAUGACUAUUUAUGUUUAAAAAUUAAACUUUAUUUUUUUUAAUGAAUUAAGUUGGUAUAACUCUGAUAAAUUAAUUUUAUUAUGGGGUUAAUAUUUUAAUUAAAAAAUUAUAUACUUUUAAUAAAGAUUUAUACUUUUCAAUAAAAAAAUUCAAUUAUUUUUAUGAAUGCUUAAAUUAUAUUAAGAAAAUAAAAAAAUAAUAAUUAAGAAUAGUUGAAAAAAAUUAUUUUAACUUGGACUCAAUGGCCCAAAGGAAAAAAAAGUGAGAAUUGAAUCUGAUUUUUUAAUAGGCCCAAAUGGCCCAAGAGAAAUUUGAUUUGGGCUGGAUCCAAAAAUAAUGACCCAAUAUAGAUUUGUUAUUAAUAUUACUUAAUUGUACUUAAUGAAACAUGCAAUGUUAGUGAAUGAAACAUGCCCCUAAGGUAAUUAUGACAAUAGGAUCCUUUAAUAGUAUAGAUGGCUUAAGUAAAUUGCAAACAGAGUGGCUUAAAACGCAUUUAGUCAUAGGAAGGUAAGUUUUAUAAUGGCAUUGUAAACACAUUACAAAAUCAGUACAGUGACUUUAACCAAUUGGCCCCAGCCCAGCAUUCUGCCAAUCUAUUAAAACUAAUAACAAGAAAUUUCCG